ACCUGUGAUCAUACCACCCUGAUCAGGCCCAAUCCUGUCAGAUCUCAGAAGCUAAGCAGGUUUGGGCCUGUUUAGUACUUAGAUGUGAGAAAAUAGAAUGGUGGUUGCCAGGGGCU
ensembl:rRNA 5S_rRNA 5S ribosomal RNA